UACGAAGGGUGCAAGCGUUACUCGGAAUUACUGGGCGUAAAGCGUGCGUAGGCGGUUUGUUAAGUCUGUCGUGAAAGCCCCCGGGCUCAACCUGGGAAUGGCGAUGGAUACUGGCGAGCUAGAGUACGGUAGAGGAGAGUGGAAUUCCCGGUGUAGCAGUGAAAUGCGUAGAGAUCGGGAGGAACAUCAGUUGCGAAGGCGGCUCUCUGGACCAGUACUGACGCUGAGGCACGAAAAGCGUGGGGGAGCAAACAGG
rnacentral:rRNA from 1 species